rfam:Treponema denticola ATCC 35405, complete genome.
AAAACACUGCGAGUUUGCCUUGCGGGCAAACUUCGCUUUAUUGUAUGCCGUUUCUCACUUUGUUGCGAAACGGCGGAAAAUAAGCAAUGCUCAGAAACUGAUGUUUCUUCCGCUUGCUUAUUUUAAUA